rnacentral:sRNA from 1 species
UCCAGGAUGUCAGGAUGAUUAAUGAUGGUGUCCAGCUUGUCUCCCUCUACUUUUUCCCAUCCCCAUGGAUAUAAAUAGAGGUGACCUUUUAAUCCUCCUCUCAAUCAGGUGGAGACGAUUGGGGAUGCUUACAUGGUGGUAUCUGGCCUCCCAGGCCGAAAUGGUCAACGCCAUGCACCAGAAAUUGCUCGUAUGGCCCUAGCAUUACUAGAUGCAGUUUCUUCCUUCCGCAUCCGCCACCGACCCCAUGACCAGCUGAGGCUACGCAUAGGGGUCCAUACUGGUAAGGCUGACUCUCACUCCAGCCCUAGUCUCCACCUUUCCCAGACUCUCCCAACCUGUUUCUUCUCAUAGGGCCAGUCUGCGCUGGGGUUGUUGGUCUGAAGAUGCCCCGUUAUUGUCUUUUUGGAGACACAGUGAACACUGCUUCUCGAAUGGAGUCUAAUGGUCAAGCGCUGAAGAUCCAUGUCUCCUCUACCACCAAGGAUGCCCUAGAUGAGCUAGGAUGCUUCCAGCUAGAGCUUCGGGGGGAUGUGGAAAUGAAGGGAAAAGGAAAGAUGCGAACAUACUGGCUCUUAGGAGAGCGGAAAGGACCUCCUGG